UGCUCAGGGAGAACUGCUCACCAUGGUCCAUGUUAGCUGUCUGAGACUUGAGCGAUGGGCUGGACUCUGGCUGACUCAGAAAAGCAAAGGAAGCGCUUGGUGGUAAAGCUGGGACAGUGAUGCCCAAACAGAUUAAGCAGACAGGAAUUAAUCUUCCACUCUCCUAAGAAUCCCACCCAGGACACCCGUGAGAAUUUCCUUCCCUGGAUCACUGGACAGUCAGGGGUUUCUAAAGCCAUCGGCUCAGUAGACUUGGCAUCUUGACUUCACCUGGGAACACUGCAGGAUCUCGCUGUUUGACUUGCCUGUGUGCUUAACCCUGCAGAGACAUGCUUCAGGUUGUCAGAGAUCAGAGCAGUACUUCACAGUGCUAAGGACAUUUCAGCUCUUCACACUGCCCUGCCAGUGAGGAGACUGGGGAUGCACAAGGAGAUGGGAGAAGACAGACCCAGGAGAGCUGACCCAGACUGACUGAAGAGAUUUUCCUUACUAUGUGGCAUCAUGUGGAGUUAAAAAUUUGGGGGAGUUGGCCAGGCGGGGAGCAGCCAUGGCUCGGGGACUAGCUAGUGGGUGGUGAGCAAUUGCAUUGUGCAUCACUGUUUUUGUAAGUGCAUAUAUAGACACACAUACAGUUAUCACUACUAUUGUGGGUUGUUUUUUUUUUUUUUCCUUCUCUGUUUUAGUAAAUAGCUUUUAUCUCAACCCAUGGGUUUUACCGUUUUUUCCAAUUCUCUCUCCUGUCUCAUCAGUAUGGGGGAGUGAGCAAAAUGGCUGUGGGGCUGAGCUGCUUCUGCGUUAAACUACAACACUGUGAGCAGCUGCUCUUCACUGUCCCAGUACAGUGGUUAUUCCUCUUGUGCCUGGCACAACCCAGUUCCACUUGGUGUCUCCAUUCAACUGAAGCUCAUUUCUGGUAGAAAAUUAGGAAUCUUCAGAAACCAUAUCAUUAAUACUCUCAUCCUGAAACUUGGAACAGAAGUGUAUUUAAAUGGAAGCAUUUGUUCCUUUUAAACCAACACUGCAGAACAAACCCAUCCCAUCGCUUAGAUGGCUCACAGCUGCCUCCUGGUGUGCUCUUCUUCUUGAUUAGUGACAGAGAAGUCAGUGUAACAUAUAGAGGUGCAGAUAAGUGAGUGCUAAGGAGCUGCUCUACACUGACAUCCCAGAAGGGCAGAGCAAGUUUGCACUGGGAGCAGCUGUGAGAUGGCAGUGCAAGGCUGUCUCUGCCUUACCCACUCCCCCUGCAGUGCCGACAGUUUGAUGCACUAGCAUUUGCUGGCUGGCAGGUCAUUUUUCACCUGGAAACAUACAGAGCAGCAUACUUGACAAAAUCUACAUCUAGAAACUGGCCAGUGUAACAUUUAUCUUAUGCCCCAAUUCGUAACUGAUCCUGACAUUGCAAGUGAAGGAGUUCAUAUUAGUGAUCGAGGCAAUUGUAAAAGCUAUAUUGAUUUUUUCUAACCUGCCUGAUUUCAAAUGUGUUACACGAUUUUUUAUUGCUUCUUGGUUAGCUAAUGCUUCUUGAUAUUACUUUGCAACAACCCUGCUCACCUUGUACUGCUGUAGCACAGUGCAAUUUCCUCCUCUGCCCUCACAAGUAACAGCAAAUGGACAGCAGGCUCCAGAUACAAGAUGUGCAGUUGUGCACUCCCUGCAUGGAUGCAGUCCUGGGCCACCUGCUCUAGCUGGUCCUAUCUGAGCAGGAUGUUGGACCAGACGGACUCAGAAGUCUCUGGAUGGCCAUGCUGUGAUUCUGUGCCUCUCCUGGUGCAAGCUGACCUCAGCCCUGAUCCAGUACAGCCCUCUGGGUGGCACUAACGCUAAAGCUGCAUUUUGUUCUCUGACAAAAUAUGCACAGGUAUACAGCUGUAUCAGGUUUGAGCCAUGGCUCUGGAAAUUAAAUUUAAAAUAAUACAAGAUUUUAGCUAUUGGUUCUUCUUGUGUGCUAUAAAAGAAGCAUGAGCUAUGAUGCCUCAAUUGCUUUUAAUUGGUUGUAAGGAGGAUUUGCAGUACCUCAGUUUCAAGGUCCCUGUUUGAUGUAUUGGGAAUAAAAAGGUUUUCAUAGGAGUACUAGAGUUACAACACACUCAAGUCCACACCAGAAGUGUCUUUGACACUGCUGUCAGUAGACUAAAUCUCUUAAAAUUACUUAUUAAAAGUGUGACAGGAACUUUAUGUAGGCUUUCACUUUUCUUUGCAUCCAAAUUUCAGAAAAAUGCACUGCAGGGUUGAGCUCUGGUUUAUCCAGAACUUAUUGGGGUACAGCUUAGAAUAACCUCGUUAAAAAUAAUUCACUGUGAAGCAGAUAUAAGAAUGGGCAAAUUAGCAGUGCUGAGAGCCAUGUGAGGGGCUGUGUGCAACUACCUUCUCCAACACUCUGUCUGCAAAGGAAAGAAAACCUUAGAGAGAAAUUUUCAGCUUAUGCACUACUGUAAGUGAAAGCCAUGGUUAGUUGAACGUGUGUCUGUUGUCUUUUACUCAGUUAAUGCGACACGAA